rnacentral:lncRNA from 1 species
UGCCCUGUGACCAAUUUUUCUGCUCCUUGAGACCCACUCUCAUGCAAUUUGGGUAUUAACCUCUGCAGGCUUCACUCUGUUCUUUUUUUGCAGGUCCAAGCAUCAUGGCUUUUCAAGCCUAAGAUCAUGCUAGAUCAUGCAGACAUUAUCAGCACAGGAUUUGGACGCCUUUGGGGUUGCUGGGUAACCAGAAAUUCCAGGAAUUUGGGGAAGGGAUGUACAAACAACAAAACAAUGAGCUCACGAGCACAAGCCCCUACUGCGCUAUACAAGCAGAAACAUAGCAGAACUUCAUGCCAGACGUGCCAGAUACCCACCUCUGGAAGCCUCACCCUGCAAGACUUACAGAAUGAUUUUCAGAACUAUUGAAACUUUUUGGCCCUUUGAACUUUACUGGAAAGGACUCGAUAGCUGUUCUACUGACUAAGGCUUUACAUGUUGCAUCUAACAACAACAUAUUUAGCUGGUAUUCACGAGUGUGUGUGCCUGCCAUUGCCACCAGUGCCACACAUAAUGAUGAAAUUGCAACAUAUAGCCUGGAGAUUGGGUGCAGUGACGCUUGGAAUGGCUGACCAUGGCUGGUGUGAAGACAUCGUUCCAGGAGACAACGAAACCCAAAAUAAAUUUGAUAGUGCCGCCUACACAUAUAUAUUUCCAUCAAAAUGGUCAUUGUACUCUCUGUAUCAGGCCAAGUGUUCAGCUGAAUACUAUGCGUAACUCUGGCUAGAUGCCAGAUAAAUGAUCAGUUCCUCUUUCACACCUUCUUAAUACUAAAAGGAAAGAAAGAUUAAAAAAAAAAAAAAAAAGAGCACUGCCUGAAUUCCAGCUGAGAUCAAAAACAUGCUGCAGAAAAUUGAACCAAUGAGUCAGCCCUUAUCUAUUGUAUUCUGAAUGAAUUUUAUACUAAAAUGAACAUAUGAAGGUGGGCAAAAUGACAGCAUGUUGACAUUUUUAUCCCCGAGGCAACAGUGACUCAGUAAUGACUCUGCUUUCCUCCGAGCCACAGAUAAAUUUGUAGCUGAUGCUAUGCAACGUAGAUAGCUAGGUCAGAAACACAGACCUGUGUUUUGGAGCCAGAAGCUGCUGCAAUCACACCUGAAUGCAAAGACAAGUUUCCAAAUAUCAGAUAACUUUAGUAUUGAGAAUAAGAUACGGAGAAGAUGUUUCCAGGUAGCCUCACAUUCAAAUGAACUAUAUGAGUGCUGAUAUUUAAACACAGCUGUGCAAUAUCUUGUGUUAACUUUACCCUAAAGAGUAUGGAUCACAUCAUAUUUGCAAGUGAUAUUAUUGUUGUCCAUUUUUUCAUAAAACAAUUACCAGACAUACUAAUAUUGUAUACUAGUGUGAGCCAAUAAUUUUAAGCAGUGGCAGAAAUGCUUGUUCUAGUUUGUUUGUGCAAUAUCUAUUAAUCAUCAUAACCCCUAAGAAGUUUUAUAUGUGUGAUAGUAUAGAAGCAUAUGAAACAUCUUUUCGUUGAAAAACAAAUUGAAGU